ACUCCUACGGGAGGCAGCAGUAGGGAAUCUUCCGCAAUGGACGAAAGUCUGACGGAGCAACGCCGCGUGAGCGAUGAAGGCCUUCGGGUCGUAAAGCUCUGUUGUUAGGGAAGAACAAGUACCGUUCGAAUAGGGCGGUACCUUGACGGUACCUAACCAGAAAGCCACGGCUAACUACGUGCCAGCAGCCGCGGUAAUACGUAGGUGGCAAGCGUUGUCCGGAAUUAUUGGGCGUAAAGCGCGCGCAGGCGGUUCUUUAAGUCUGAUGUGAAAGCCCACGGCUUAACCGUGGAGGGCCAUUGGAAACUGGAGAACUUGAGUGCAGAAGAGGAGAGCGGAAUUCCACGUGUAGCGGUGAAAUGCGUAGAGAUGUGGAGGAACGCCAGUGGCGAAGGCGGCUCUCUGGUCUGUAACUGACGCUGAGGCGCGAAAGCGUGGGGAGCGAACAGGAUUAGAUACCCUGGUAGUC
rnacentral:rRNA from 1 species